rnacentral:rRNA from 1 species
CAGGUUUACCUGUGUGACUGCGUACCUUUUGUAUAAUGGGUCAGCGACUUAUAUUCUGUAGCAAGGUUAACCGUAUAGGGGAGCCGUAGGGAAACCGAGUCUUAACCGGGCGUUAAGUUGCAGGGUAUAGACCCGAAACCCGGUGAUCUAGCCAUGGGCAGGUUGAAGGUUGGGUAACACUAACUGGAGGACCGAACCGACUAAUGUUGAAAAAUUAGCGGAUGACCUGUGGCUGGGGGUGAAAGGCCAAUCAAACCGGGAGAUAGCUGGUUCUCCCCGAAAGCUAUUUAGGUAGCGCCUCGUGAAUUCAUCUCCGGGGGUAGAGCACUGUUUCGGCUAGGGGGCCAUCCCGGCUUACCAACCCGAUGCAAACUGCGAAUACCGGAGAAUGUUAUCACGGGAGACACACGGCGGGUGCUAACGUCCGUCGUGAAGAGGGAAACAACCCAGACCGCCAGCUAAGGUCCCAAAGUCAUGGUUAAGUGGGAAACGAUGUGGGAAGGCCCAGACAGCCAGGAUGUUGGCUUAGAAGCAGCCAUCAUUUAAAGAAAGCGUAAUAGCUCACUGGUCGAGUCGGCCUGCGCGGAAGAUGUAACGGGGCUAAACCAUGCACCGAAGCUGCGGCAGCGACACUAUGUGUUGUUGGGUAGGGGAGCGUUCUGUAAGCCUGUGAAGGUGUGUCGUGAGGCAUGCUGGAGGUAUCAGAAGUGCGAAUGCUGACAUAAGUAACGAUAAAGCGGGUGAAAAGCCCGCUCGCCGGAAGACCAAGGGUUCCUGUCCAACGUUAAUCGGGGCAGGGUGAGUCGACCCCUAAGGCGAGGCCGAAAGGCGUAGUCGAUGGGAAACGGGUUAAUAUUCCCGUACUUGGUGUUACUGCGAAGGGGGGACGGAGAAGGCUAUGUUGGCCGGGCGACGGUUGUCCCGGUUUAAGCGUGUAGGUGUGUGUUCCAGGUAAAUCCGGUUCACUUUAACACUGAGGCGUGAUGACGAGGCACUACGGUGCUGAAGCAACAAAUGCCCUGCUUCCAGGAAAAGCCUCUAAGCAUCAGGUAACAUCAAAUCGUACCCCAAACCGACACAGGUGGUCAGGUAGAGAAUACCAAGGCGCUUGAGAGAACUCGGGUGAAGGAACUAGGCAAAAUGGUGCCGUAACUUCGGGAGAAGGCACGCUGACACGUAGGUGAAGUGAUUUACUCAUGGAGCUGAAGUCAGUCGAAGAUACCAGCUGGCUGCAACUGUUUAUUAAAAACACAGCACUGUGCAAACACGAAAGUGGACGUAUACGGUGUGACGCCUGCCCGGUGCCGGAAGGUUAAUUGAUGGGGUCAGCGCAAGCGAAGCUCCUGAUCGAAGCCCCGGUAAACGGCGGCCGUAACUAUAACGGUCCUAAGGUAGCGAAAUUCCUUGUCGGGUAAGUUCCGACCUGCACGAAUGGCGUAAUGAUGGCCAGGCUGUCUCCACCCGAGACUCAGUGAAAUUGAACUCGCUGUGAAGAUGCAGUGUACCCGCGGCAAGACGGAAAGACCCCGUGAACCUUUACUAUAGCUUGACACUGAACAUUGAGCCUUGAUGUGUAG